GACGCAUUUUCAAAUAGAGUUUAAUUCUGAGAAGCAGGCAUUCCUCAGAUGUUUCAAACCAGUUACUCUCGAUGGACAAGUCGUCAGCGGUGUGGCCCUUCUUCCCGAUGUUGCGGUCAUAUUAAUAAAUGGAAAAGAAUUCCAAUUUCUAAAACAGGUUCAGCGAACAGAGAAAAGGAUAAAACCGGUCGAGGAAGCUCUGAGGUUCGUUUUAGGACAACAUGAUCCUGAAGAUAUAUGCGAAAAAUAUAUCAACGACUUUAUAGGUAAACUUGUUAAUGAAAA
rnacentral:lncRNA from 1 species